rnacentral:ncRNA from 1 species
UGUCGGGUAAAUUCCGUCCCGCUUGAAUAGUGUAACUAUCUUUUGACUGCCUCGACUAUCAACUCGGUGAAAUCCAGGUGCGGGUGAAGACACCCGCUAGCCGCAACGGGACGGAAAGACCCCAUGAAGCUUUAUUGUAGCUUAAUAUUGGGGCAAAAAUAUUGAUGUAUAGCAUAGGUAGGAGACUUUGAAGUAAUUUCGUUAGGAAUCAUGGAGUCGCCCGUGGAAUACUACCCUUCGUUAUUUUAGCUUCUAACACGCUGCCGUUAACCGGUAGGUGGACAGUGUUUGGUGGGCAGUUUGACUGGGGCGGUCGCCUCCCAAAAGGAAACGGAGGCGCGCAAUGGUACCCUCAAUACGGUUGGAAAUCGUGUUCCGAGCGUAAUGGUAUAAGGGUGCUUGACUGCGAGAGCAACGGCUCGAGCAGGUAGGAAACUAGGUCAUAGUGAUCCGGUGUUUCAGUAUGGAAUGGCCAUCGCUCGACGGAUAAAAGCUACUCUGGGGAUAACAGGCUAAUACUGCCCAAGAGUUCACAUCGACGGCAGUGUUUGGCACCUCGAUGUCGACUCAUCUCAUCCUCGAGCUGAAGCUGGUUCGAAGGGUUCGGCUGUUCGCCGAUUAAAGAGAUACGUGAGUUGGGUUCAAACGGUCGUGAGACAGGUUGGUCCCUAUCUAUUGUGGCUGUUGGAAGAUUGCGAAGAUUUGUUCCUAGUACGAGAGGACCGGAACGAAGAUACCUCUUGUGCACCAGUUGUUUUGCCAAAAGCACCGCUGGGUAGCAACGUAUCGAAUAGAUAAACGCUGAAAGCAUCUAAGUGUGAAACUGACUUCAAAAAUAAUCUUCCCGUUUGUAGCAAUACAAACUAAAUGUACUUAAAGAUGAUGAGUUAUAUAGGUCAGGGGUGUAAGUGUGGUGACGCAUUGAGCUGACUGAUCCUAAUUUAACGAGAGAGUUUACGAC